rnacentral:rRNA from 1 species
GACGAACGCUGGCGGCGUGCUUAACACAUGCAAGUCGAACGAAGUGGCGAACGGGUGAGUAACGCGUAAUCAACCUGCCCUUCAGAGGGGGACAACAGUUGGAAACGACUGCUAAUACCGCAUACUGAAGGAGGGGAUUGCGUGUGAUAUGCUCGUUGGAGGGGUAACGGCCCACUAGGGCGAUGAUCAGUAGCCGGGCUGGGGGGAUGAACGGCCAAAUUGGGACUGGGACACGGCCCAGACUUCUACGGGAGGCAGGAGUGGGGAAUCUUUCGCAAUGGACGAAAGGCUGACGGAGCAACGCCGCGGGAGUGAUGACGGCCUUCGGGUUGUAAAGCUCUGUUAAUCGGGACGCGGUACCGGAAGAGAAAGCCACGGCUAACUACGUGCCAGCAGCCGCGGUAAUAC